GGGGGCAUAGCUCAAUGGUAGAGCAUUUGACUGCAGAUCAAAAGGUCCCUGGUUCAAAUCCAGGUGCCCCUU
rnacentral:tRNA from 2 species